GCAGUCGUGGCCGAGUGGUUAGCGAUAGAGUAGAAAUCCAUUGGGGUCUCCCCGCACAGGUUCGGAUCCUGUCGACUGCG
rnacentral:tRNA from 2 species